rnacentral:rRNA from 1 species
AUCUUGGAGAGUUUGAUCCUGGCUCAGGACGAACGCUGGCGGCGUGCUUAACACAUGCAAGUCGUGCGAGAAAACCCCUUCGGGGGUGAGUACAGCGGCGGACGGGUGAGUAACACGUGAGCGAUCUACCCGGUGGCGGGGGACAACCCAGGGAAACCUGGACUAAUACCGCAUACAGCGGAGGGAGUAGGUGCCCUUCGUGAAAGCUGGCCUCUCCAUGGAAGCUAGCGUCGCCGGAGGAGCUCGCGGCCUAUCAGCUUGUUGGUGGGGUAAAGGCCUACCAAGGCGAUGACGGGUAGCUGACGUGAGAGCGUGACCAGCCACACUGGGACUGAGACACGGCCCAGACUCCUACGGGAGGCAGCAGUGGGGAAUAUUGCGCAAUGGGCGAAAGCCUGACGCAGCGACGCCGCGUGGGGGAGGAAGGCCCUAGGGUUGUAAACCCCUGUCAGGUGGGACGAACCCUGGGUCGACGAAUAGUUGGCUCAGCUGACGGUACCAUCAGAGGAAGCUCCGGCUAACUCCGUGCCAGCAGCCGCGGUAACACGGGGGGAGCAAGCGUUGUUCGGAUUCAUUGGGCGUAAAGAGCUCGUAGGCGGCUCCGUAAGUCAGAGGUGAAAGACCACGGCUCAACCGUGGGAACGCCUUUGAAACUACGGAGCUUGAGGCCGGGAGAGGAAAGUGGAAUUCCUGGAGUAGCGGUGAAAUGCGUAGAUAUCAGGAGGAACACCAGUGGCGAAGGCGACUUUCUGGACCGGUUCUGACGCUGAGGAGCGAAAGCCAGGGGAGCAAACAGGAUUAGAUACCCUGGUAGUCCUGGCCGUAAACGAUGGGCACUAGGUGUGGGGGGAUCGACCCCUUCCGUGCCGCAGUUAACGCAUUAAGUGCCCCGCCUGGGGAGUACGACCGCAAGGUUGAAACUCAAAGGAAUUGACGGGGGCCCGCACAAGCGGUGGAGCAUGUGGUUUAAUUCGAUG